rnacentral:tRNA from 1 species
UUUAAUAUGGCAGAUUAGUGCAAUGGGUUUAAAUUCCAUGUAUAAAAUUUUAAGAAUUUUUAUUAAAA